rnacentral:rRNA from 1 species
CUACGGGUUGCAGCAGUGGGGAAUAUUGCACAAUGGAGGAAACUCUGAUGCAGCAACGCCGCGUGGAGGAUGACACUUUUCGGAGCGUAAACUCCUUAUAUAUAGGAAGAAGAUGACGGUACUAUAUGAAUAAGCGCCGGCUAACUCCGUGCCAGCAGCCGCAGUAAUACGGAGGGCGCAAGCGUUACUCGGAAUCACUGGGCGUAAAGAGCGUGUAGGCGGAUUAAAAAGUCAGAAGUGAAAUCCUAUAGCUUAACUAUAGAACUGCUUCUGAAACUCUUAAUCUAGAAUAUGGGAGAGGUAGAUGGAAUUUCUGGUGUAGGGGUAAAAUCCGUAGAGAUCAGAAGGAAUACCGAUUGCGAAGGCGAUCUACUAGAACAUUAUUGACGCUGAGACGCGAAAGCGUGGGGAGCAAACAGGAUUAGAUACCCUAGUAGUC